AGCGAACGCUGGCGGCAGGCCUAACACAUGCAAGUCGAACGAACCUUUCGGGGUUAGUGGCGGACGGGUGAGUAACACGUGGGAACGUUCCUUUAGGUUCGGAAUAACACAGGGAAACUUGUGCUAAUACCGAAAGUGCCCUUCUGGGGACAGAUUUAUCGGCUUUAGAUCGGCCCGCGUCCGAUUAGCUAGUUGGUUGAGGUAAUGGCGAACCAAGGGGACGAACAGUAGCUGGUCUAAGAGGAUGAUCAGCCACACUGGGACUGAGACACGGCCCAAACUCCUACGGGAGGCAGCAGUGGGGAAUCCUGCGCAAUGGGCGAAAGCCUGACGCAGCCAUGCCGCGUGAAUGAUGAAGGUCUUAGGAUAGUAAAAUUCUUUCACCGGGGACGAUAAUGACGGUACCCAGAGAAGAAGCCCCGGCUAACUUCGUG
rnacentral:rRNA from 1 species